AUUUGAUGUUGACAUUUUUAUACAAAUUUGUAGGAUUCAGGGCAAUGCACGCAAGGCUUUCAACAAGCAAUCAGUAUACAAGAUGUCUUGUUCAAAAAGACAAUGAAAGACUCAGGGCUAAGCAUGCAAGACAUUCAACAAACAAUUGAUGUCCAAGAUGAGUUCUUCACAAAGGAAGGAUUUACAUAUACCGGCUUGCUUCUUAGUGGUCUCACAGAAAGUGAAACAUAUCAAACACAGUAUGCUAAUGCUCAGGUA